GGCGUAAAGGGCUCGCAGGCGGUUUCUUAAGUCUGAUGUGAAAGCCCCCGGCUCAACCGGGGAGGGUCAUUGGAAACUGGGAAACUUGAGUGCAGAAGAGGAGAGUGGAAUUCCACGUGUAGCGGUGAAAUGCGUAGAGAUGUGGAGGAACACCAGUGGCGAAGGCGACUCUCUGGUCUGUAACUGACGCUGAGGAGCGAAAGCGUGGGGAGCGAACAGGAUUAGAUACCCUGGUAGUCCACGCCGUAAACGAUGAGUGCUAAGUGUUAGGGGGUUUCCGCCCCUUAGUGCUGCAGCUAACGCAUUAAGCACUCCGCCUGGGGAGUACGGUCGCAAGACUGAAACUCAAAGGAAUUGACGGGGGCCCGCACAAGCGGUGGAGCAUGUGGUUUAAUUCGAAGCAACGCGAAGAACCUUACCAGGUCUUGACAUCCUCUGACAACCCUAGAGAUAGGGCUUUCCCUUCGGGGACAGAGUGACAGGUGGUGCAUGGUUGUCGUCAGCUCGUGUCGUGAGAUGUUGGGUUAAGUCCCGCAACGAGCGCAACCCUUGAUCUUAGUUGCCAGCAUUCAGUUGGGCACUCUAAGGUGACUGCCGGUGACAAACCGGAGGAGGGUGGGGAUGACGUCAAAUCAUCAUGCCCCUUAUGACCUGGGCUACACACGUGC
rnacentral:rRNA from 1 species